rnacentral:rRNA from 1 species
CAGCAGCCGCCACGGUAAUACGAAGGGUGCAAGCGUUACUCGGAAUUACUGGGCGUAAAGCGUGCGUAGGUGGUGGUUUAAGUCCGUUGUGAAAGCCCUGGGCUCAACCUGGGAAUUGCAGUGGAUACUGGGUCACUAGAGUGUGGUAGAGGAUAGUGGAAUUUCCGGUGUAGCAGUGAAAUGCGUAGAGAUCGGAAGGAACAUCUGUGGCGAAGGCGACUAUCUGGGCCAACACUGACACUGAGGCACGAAAGCGUGGGGAGCAAACAGGAUUAGAUACCCGUGUAGUCCCUGUCUCUUAUAA